AAGCAGAUUUUUGUAAUUAUGGAAGUGUUAAGCCCAAUUCAGAGUCGUCCGUUUAGUUCAUCCGUGUACUUGACAGAUGUGAUCAAACAAUAGAAUGUAGGCGGAGUUUCCAUAAACGGAUG